GCAUCGGUAGUUUAUUGGCAGAAUUCUCGUUUUCCAAAUGAGUGGUUCGGGUUGGAUUCCCAGUCGAUGCU